rnacentral:rRNA from 1 species
GGGAUACCACUUGGAAACAGGUGCUAAUACCGGAUAACAACAAUAGCUGCAUGGCUAUUGCUUAAAAGGCGGCGAAAGCUGUCGCUAAAGGAUGGACCCGCGGUGCAUUAGCUAGUUGGUAAGGUAAUGGCUUACCAAGGCGACGAUGCAUAGCCGAGUUGAGAGACUGAUCGGCCACAUUGGGACUGAGACACGGCCCAAACUCCUACGGGAGGCAGCAGUAGGGAAUCUUCCACAAUGGGCGAAAGCCUGAUGGAGCAACGCCGCGUGAGUGAAGAAGGUUUUCGGAUCGUAAAGCUCUGUUGUUGGUGAAGAAGGAUAGAGGUAGUAACUGGCCCCUAUUUGACGGUAAUCAACCAGAAAGUCACGGCUAACUACGUGCCAGCAGCCGCGGUAAUACGUAGGUGGCAAGCGUUGUCCGGAUUUAUUGGGCGUAAAGCGAGCGCAGGCGGAAAGAUAAGUCUGAUGUGAAAGCCCCCGGCUUAACCGAGGAAUUGCAUCGGAAACUGUGUUUCUUGAGUGCAGAAGAGGAGAGUGGAACUCCAUGUGUAGCGGUGGAAUGCGUAGAUAUAUGGAAGAACACCAGUGGCGAAGGCGGCUCUCUGGUCUGUAACUGACGCUGAGGCUCGAAAGCAUGGGUAGCGAACAGGAUUAGAUACCCUGGUAGUCCAUGCCGUAAACGAUGAGUGCUAAGUGUUGGGA